AAACAUGAAGCAAUUUUGCAUUCAGUUUCGACCUGACAUUAGAUAAAUAUUAUCCUUGUUUA
rnacentral:tRNA from 1 species